rnacentral:rRNA from 1 species
UGGCUCAGGAUGAACGCUGGCGGCGUGCCUAAUACAUGCAAGUCGAGCGAACGGACGAGAAGCUUGCUUCUCUGAUGUUAGCGGCGGACGGGUGAGUAACACGUGGAUAACCUACCUAUAAGACUGGGAUAACUUCGGGAAACCGGAGCUAAUACCGGAUAAUAUUUUGAACCGCAUGGUUCAAAAGUGAAAGACGGUCUUGCUGUCACUUAUAGAUGGAUCCGCGCUGCAUUAGCUAGUUGGUAAGGUAACGGCUUACCAAGGCAACGAUGCAUAGCCGACCUGAGAGGGUGAUCGGCCACACUGGAACUGAGACACGGUCCAGACUCCUACGGGAGGCAGCAGUAGGGAAUCUUCCGCAAUGGGCGAAAGCCUGACGGAGCAACGCCGCGUGAGUGAUGAAGGUCUUCGGAUCGUAAAACUCUGUUAUUAGGGAAGAACAUAUGUGUAAGUAACUGUGCACAUCUUGACGGUACCUAAUCAGAAAGCCACGGCUAACUACGUGCCAGCAGCCGCGGUAAUACGUAGGUGGCAAGCGUUAUCCGGAAUUAUUGGGCGUAAAGCGCGCGUAGGCGGUUUUUUAAGUCUGAUGUGAAAGCCCACGGCUCAACCGUGGAGGGUCAUUGGAAACUGGAAAACUUGAGUGCAGAAGAGGAAAGUGGAAUUCCAUGUGUAGCGGUUAAAUGCGCAGAGAUAUGGAGGAACACCAGUGGCGAAGGCGACUUUCUGGUCUGUAACUGACGCUGAUGUGCGAAAGCGUGGGGAUCAAACAGGAUUAGAUACCCUGGUAGUCCACGCCGUAAACGAUGAGUGCUAAGUGUUAGGGGGUUUCCGCCCCUUAGUGCUGCAGCUAACGCAUUAAGCACUCCGCCUGGGGAGUACGACCGCAAGGUUGAAACUCAAAGGAAUUGACGGGGACCCGCACAAGCGGUGGAGCAUGUGGUUUAAUUCGAAGCAACGCGAAGAACCUUACCAAAUCUUGACAUCCUUUGACAACUCUAGAGAUAGAGCUUUCCCCUUCGGGGGACAAAGUGACAGGUGGUGCAUGGUUGUCGUCAGCUCGUGUCGUGAGAUGUUGGGUUAAGUCCCGCAACGAGCGCAACCCUUAAGCUUAGUUGCCAUCAUUAAGUUGGGCACUCUAAGUUGACUGCCGGUGACAAACCGGAGGAAGGUGGGGAUGACGUCAAAUCAUCAUGCCCCUUAUGAUUUGGGCUACACACGUGCUACAAUGGACAAUACAAAGGGCAGCGAAACCGCGAGGUCAAGCAAAUCCCAUAAAGUUGUUCUCAGUUCGGAUUGUAGUCUGCAACUCGACUACAUGAAGCUGGAAUCGCUAGUAAUCGUAGAUCAGCAUGCUACGGUGAAUACGUUCCCGGGUCUUGUACACACCGCCCGUCACACCACGAGAGUUUGUAACACCCGAAGCCGGUGGAGUAACCUUUUAGGAGCUAGCCGUCGAAGGUGGGACAAAUGAUUGGGGUGAAGUCGUACAGGGGGAAACCGUAAA